rnacentral:lncRNA from 1 species
CUUUUUUACAUUACAGGUUGCAACACCUUGCCAAAUCAUUAGGUUCCAAUAAACGUUUGGAAAAUUUAGUUAAUGUGCUUUCCCAUAGAGUUUUAUGCAAAACAAUUACCGGAAAUCUAUUAUGGAAACUUGCAAAAACAAUAUCAAAAUCGAAAUCUAAGUGAACAAUGAAGUUACUCACAUUAAAAAAGGUUGAGACAUAGAAGGCC